rnacentral:lncRNA from 1 species
AAAAACCCAGAAGUACCCUGGAAUAAAACAUGUGCUUGAAUGUUUUAAGUUAUUUUUGCAGCCAGCUAGUUUUACGGUCAGUCUGGCCAACCCUGGCUUUUAAGGGCUUGACAAACAUUAUCAAGAUUCUGACCUUAAACUGAAAUUCCUUGAACUCUCAGUACCUGUGAGCUUGCACCUCAAAUUCCUGCCCCUGGCAUGUACUUAACCAGUCACAAAGAGCCAGCAUUAAUGACAACUCUGGCAGGAAGCAUGACUUGUAGAGAAGUUAACAAGUUCUGAGUAAGACGGAGAUAAACGUAGAUGACAAACCGCUAUCUUGAGCUGCUUGUCCUUUAAGUAUGUUGAGAUCCAGACUUUUAAGUGAUACUUCAGUGAUCUCAAAAGCAGGAAUCUUGUGUCUGCCACUAUUCCAGUUGGUGCUAUCAGACACACCAUGUGAAGAAAAUGAAAUGUGCAUAAACUCUAAAGAUCAUUACACAAAUGGCUGGUAUAUCUGGUUCUUGCUGCUGAUUUUCCUGGUGGCUCUUCUCUGUGGAACAGUGAUCUUCUGCCUCCAGUGCUGCCUGAGGAGACUCAAAAAUGGUCCCCAAAGACGCACCAUGGCUGUUUUUGCUGUUGGAGACUUGGACUCCGUUUACGGGACAGAAGCAGCUGUGACUCCAACUGUUGGAAUGCACCUUCACACUCAAAACCCUGAACUGUUUCGUGUUCCCUGUUUUGGAGUUUUAGGCCCCCCGCCUCCAUAUGAAGAAAUUAAAAUCAAGCCGAGUUCAGACCUAGAUCGCUAAUAGAAAUGAUCAGAAAUAUUUAAAAUUCCAAAACAUACAAUUUAGGAACAAUUCUUUCACUUGGUGAGAAUUCCUGGAGAUCAGUUAAUGUAGUCUUAAAAAGGACAAAUGAAUAUAAGAAAAGA